rnacentral:tRNA from 1 species
CUAGGAUCCUAAUUUAAACUAUUGUCUG